GGCCCUGUAACUCAGUGCUUAGAAUGCUGGCCUUGUACACCAGGGGCAGCGGGUUCAAAUCUCACCAGGGCCU
rnacentral:tRNA from 1 species